UCCAUGAAAAUAUUUAUGUGUGCGUGU
rnacentral:sRNA from 1 species